UGGGGAAUUUUGGACAAUGGGCGCAAGCCUGAUCCAGCAAUGCCGCGUGCAGGAUGAAGGCCUUCGGGUUGUAAACUGCUUUUGUACGGAGCGAAAAGGUCUGCCCUAAUACGGUGGGCUCAUGACGGUACCGUAAGAAUAAGCACCGGCUAACUACGUGCCAGCAGCCGCGGUAAUACGUAGGGUGCGAGCGUUGAUCGGAAUUACUGGGCGUAAAGCGUGCGCAGGCGGUUAUGCAAGACAGAGGUGAAAUCCCCGGGCUCAACCUGGGAACUGCGUUUGUGACUGCAUAACUAGAGUACGGCAGAGGGAGGUGGAAUUCCGCGUGUAGCAGUGAAAUGCGUAGAUAUGCGGAGGAACACCGAUGGCGAAGGCAAUCCCCUGGACCUGUACUGACGCUCAUGCACGAAAGCGUGGGGAGCAAACA
rnacentral:rRNA from 1 species